rnacentral:rRNA from 1 species
AGACGUCUACAUUAGACUACCCCCGUAGUCCCAGCCGUAAACUAUGCGCGUUAGGUGUAUCGGUGACCACGAGUCACCGAGGUGCCGAAGGGAAACCGUGAAACGUGCCGCCUGGGAAGUACGGUCGCAAGGCUGAAACUUAAAGGAAUUGGCGGGGAGCACAACAACGGGUGGAGCCUGCGGUUUAAUUGGACUCAACGCCGGGAAGCUCACCGGAUAAGACAGCGGAAUGAUUGCCGGGCUGAAGACUCUGCAUGACUAGCUG